rnacentral:rRNA from 1 species
UACGAAGGGUCCAAGCGUUAUCCGGAUUUAUGGGUUUAAAGGGUGCGUAGGCGGCUUAUUAAGUCAGUGGUGAAAGCCUGCAGCUUAACUGCAGAACUGCCAUUGAUACUGAUGAGCUUGAAUAUACUUGAGGUGGGCGGAAUGUGUCAUGUAGCGGUGAAAUGCUUAGAUAUGACACAGAACACCGAUUGCGAAGGCAGCUCGCUAAAGUAUGAUUGACGCUGAGGCACGAAAGCGUGGGGAGCAAACAGG